AUAAUUCGAUUACUAAUUGUGGGUCCCAAAAUGGGUUGCUAACUGUCUUUUUUUCCCCCCAGAGUACAUCUCUGUGUGUCACGGCGUACUCCUAGGAGAAAUAAGUGUGACGAGGAAGGCAGGUGAUAAGAGGAACGCAUGUGCGUGUACGUGGGAGCGUGUGCUGCGUGAGAGGAAGAAAGAAAGGGUGAGAAAAGGAGAGCGAGAGGACGCAAAUAAGGGACAUAAGGAAAACAAUAUAUUAAUUAUUGCGUGGUACGAACAGAACUGUGAUAUUUUAUUGUAUAAUUCUGCGGAAGAGAUGAGAGAGAAAUAUGAAGAGAAAUCUCUAAGGAGUAUAAUACUAUUACGUGAGAAAGAGAGAGAGAGAGAGAGAGAGAGAGCGCACGAGAGAAAAAGAAAGAGAGAAAGCGAGAGAGAAAGAGAGAGAGAAAGUGAGCAAAGAUGGAUAUUAUUGUAUUUUAUAAAAAGUGCAUCCUUAAACGCAAUUAAAUGCAAUUGUGCGGGAACUGUACAUACACCUGGUGUCUCCUUAAAGAUAGAAAAAAAAAUUAAGUAAUCCUUGACUUUUCGGUUGCGUAAGUAGCGCGUAAGGCGUAUGAAAGAGACGAGUCGAAAUGUAAUAGUACUCUAAGUGCGGCUCAAGUACGAAUCGCGAGGAGCCAUACGACCAACGUGAAAACGUCGAGGCGCGCUUUGCUCCGUUUUGUAAAUCGUCGUUGCCGAUCUGACCUUUGCGUUGACGAUGCGUUACGCGUGCGAGAGAUCUACCUGUUACUUUGUAAUAUUGAAGAGCGAAAGAGAGAGAGAGAGAGGCAACCCCCUCGUCCCUCGCAGACUUUAUCCGGAAUGUCUAGAUGUAAUUCGCCGUCGGAGACGACGAUCCGAUUUUCAAGGAUUUUACGACCAGUCUUCUCGAGAGUCUACGUCCCGCGCACAGCUCUGUAAAGCAACACACACACACACACAUGUACACACGCGCGUGCGCAUACAUACGGACACACGCCCGCCCCACAAACAUCGAAACACACUAAUUGUUCGUCCUUUUUAACAAAUAUAACAGAACUUACGUCUUACU